rnacentral:rRNA from 1 species
AAUUUUGGACAAUGGGCGCAAGCCUGAUCCAGCCAUGCCGCGUGAGUGAUGAAGGCCUUCGGGUCGUAAAGCUCUUUCGGACGGAAAGAAAUCGCGCAGGCUAAUUCCCUGCGCGGAUGACGGUACCGUCCUAAGAACCUCUGGCUAAUUACUUUCCAGCAGCCGCGGUAAUACGUAGGGUGCAAGCGUUAAUCGGAAUUUCUGGGCGUAAAGCGUGCGCAGGCGGUUUUGUAAGACAGUGGUGAAAUCCCCGGGCUCAACCUGGGAACUGCCAUUGUGACUGCAAGGCUGGAGUGCGGCAGAGGGGGAUGGAAUUCCGCGUGUAGCAGUGAAAUGCGUAGAUAUGCGGAGGAACACCAGUGGCGAAGGCGACCACCUGGACUGAUACUGACACUGAGGUGCGAAAGCGUGGGGAGCAAACAGG